CAUAGGAGGGACAGGAGCCCUAGGCAAUAUGUAUUAAGUAGACUUUCAUGAACUCAACGAGAUACUGCAAGAGAUAAAAUAAUGAGAUGCUACGUCAUAGGAUCUGUCUCUGAGUCCACAUUGUGGGAGAAAAGACCAUUCUUCGGAAAGAUGCAGGGGAAGCCCCGUACCUCAAGGGAUUGAGAUGGGAGACUGAGGGAAUCCUGGGGUCUCUGCCCUCUCCCUCAGGCUGCUUUCCUGAAGAGCAGUGGUAUGGCCUCUCUGGAAUCUUCCAGA
rnacentral:lncRNA from 1 species